ACGGUCAGGGACGAAGCCUAGGGGCACGAACCGGAUUAGAUACCCGGGUAGUCCUAGGUGUAAACGCUGUGGACUUGGUGUUGGGGAUUCUACGAGUAUCCCCAGUGCCGGAGUGAAGAUGUUAAGUCCACUGCCUGGGGAGUACGGUCGCAAGGCUGAAACUUAAAGGAAUUGGCGGGGGAGCACAGCAACGAGAGGAGCGUGCGGUUUAAUUGGAUUCAACGCCGGAAAACUCACCAGAGCCGACGGACAUAUGAAGAUCAGCGUGAUGAGCUUAUUGGAUUGUUCGAGAGGUAGUGCAUGGCCGUCGUCAGUUCGUACCGUAAGGCGUUCUGUUAAGUCAGAUAACGAACGAGACCCCUAUCGUCUAUUUGCUAGACGGAUCUCCGGAUUCGUCGCACUAUAGCGAGACCGCUGGCGUGAAGUCAGAGGAAGGUGGGGGCAACGACAGGUCAGUAUGCUCCGAAUGCUCUGGGCUACACGCGCGCUACAAAGGCCAGGACAAUGGGUCUGCCACGCCGAGAGGCGGCGCUAUCCCGAAACCUGGUCGUAGUUCGGAUCGUGGGCUGUAAUUCGCCCACGUGAAGCUGGAUUUCGUAGUAAUCGCGUCUCAAAAUGGCGCGGUGAAUAUGCCCCUGCUCCUUGCACACACCGCCCGUCAAACCAUCUUAGUUUGGGGUGGGUGAGGCUACCUUUCAAUGGGGUAUUCGAGCCUGCCUUAGACAAGGAGGGUUAAGUCGUAACAAGGUAUCUGUAG
rnacentral:rRNA from 1 species